UUCAUUUUUGGCUGACGUUUUUCUUGUCUUCCAACGGCAUUCAACCACAUCAAAUUGGAGAUAUGAAGACAAAAUCGGGGCUUUUUAAUGAAGGAUUCUCUCUUCUCUUUGUCAAGGUACGAUUAUAUGCUAGAUUUCGUUGUAGUUCUAGAUAAAGUUUUGUUUAUUGAGAUUGAAAUUAGGGUUUAGUGGUUUGAAGAAAAAAUUAUGCAUAUUUGGUGUAAGCGAGAUUAGGGUAAUUUGAUUCAAUAAUAGUUGAGAUUAGGGUAGUUUGAAGAUGAUUUUAGGCAUAUAUUGUUUGAUUUUGGUUUUAUGAUCGCAUUUGCUAAGUUUUUUUUUCCGCAUAUGCUAAGUUUUUUUUUCCGCAUAUGCUAAGUUUUUGGUUCUUUGUUUUUGAUGAGGGUAAAUGGAGAAACAACGAUAGAUUCUUCUUGAAGCUUGAGGAGGAUUCCUUUUACGCAAUGAAGCACGGUUAAAUGGAGAAACAACAAUAGAUGCUCAUAGAAGCUCCCACCAAUUCCUUUACAGCAAUGAAGCAAGAGAAUGAAGAGCUCUGUUCUUAGAAUGAAGGUAGUUAAGUAAAAAGAUUCCUGAGUCAUUCGCAUCUAUCUCCAUAUGUACAGCUGGACCUCUCAAUGAGCAAAAAGAGGUGAAGGCCAAAGAUAUAAUACACAGAGCAUUGUAUUAUUGAGUUGUUUUAUUUCCCGUGUUUCCAAAGAGGUGAAGGCUAAAGAUAGGCAAUAUAGAUCACGGGUUUUGUUUCCUGUGUUGUUUUAUUGAUCAUUGUAUGGAUCCAUUUGGUUUUGUUUUGUAGUAUUGUAAACCAAAAAAUUUUGAGGGUAUUGUAAACCACAAACAUUUCUUGAGAGUAUUGUAAACCACAUAUGUGUUGUAAAACAAUCGAUCAUUUAUUUCCUA